rnacentral:rRNA from 1 species
GACGUUGAUAGGCUGGGUGUGUAAGCGCAGCGAUGCGUUGAGCUGACCAGUACUAAUGAACCGAGAGGCUUAACCUGACAACACCGAAGGUGUUUUG